UUUGGCUUAGGUCGCUGCAAACACAAUGAAAGAAAGCCCUAAAAGCAUAACCUCACUCCUCUUAGGGUUGCUGAGAGAGAGGAAUGGAAACAAGCGAAGUGGUUGCGGCUGCGGCGCCGGAGGCAGGGUUGAAGCACAAACUGGAGCGAAAAUGGACGUUUUGGUGCGACAAUCAAUCCAAACCUAAACAGCUUGGGGAACCUCUCUGCGCAGGUCUACACUUUCGACUAUGACGAGUUGGUUCUGCUGGAAACAAGUUGAGAAUGUCACUGAGUCUGCCAGGGGUAGCUGUGGUGAGCUGUGCAGACAACACUGUGGUAGCCUAAGAAUCUUUAUAUCAUAUUGGUGAAAGAAAACAGGCUUUGCCUCAGCAGAAAGCAACAUCAACACCCAAAGCAGACAGAAACUUGCAAUAGAGAUCCAGUGAACGACGGAGUUGUUACCCAGUUGUGUUGUGUUUUAAUCGAUACCUAGAAACGAACAAAUCUGAUGCCAUUUUUUUCUUUUUCUCUGGUUCCAAACUUGUGAUUUUACGUGAGUUGAGAGUGUUUGCUCUAGUUUACGUGAACGUACUAAAAAGAAUCACGUGAGAGUUAAAUAGGUUCGAGGGCAUGACUAAUGCAUUUUUAGUGGCUUUAGAACUUGUUCUUUAAAUGGGAGGAUUCAAAUCAUGCUGGUUGAGCGGCACAUAUCCUAUUAUUCAUGAGGAUAUGUUAGCUUGAUAUAUUUAACCAGCUAGAUCGAUGCAUGCUAUCGAAUAUAUCGAGUUGGAUUUCUCAUGGGAUCUUACUUUUCGCCAUUCGGUACAUUGUUUCAUUCUUUACAAAUUUUUUUCUGUUUUAUGAUGACUAAUGUUCUGUUUUGUUGAUAUUUAUUAUUGAAAGGUAACUUAGCGCAGUUUGGUUUUAUAAAAAAGAAUACUGGUAAUGUAGUGUGAAGAUUUUAAUUGAGGUUUUGAUGCACCUCUUAAGGCCAGUUAUCCUUAUACUCUACCAUACCUUUACCGAGCCCUUUUGUUUAUCAUCUCUGUCAAGGUUUGGGUUUUUUUUUCUUCUAUUUUUCGAUUUUUAUUAUGAAAUUUCUGGUCAUUUGGGAAAUGGAAUGUCCGAAGAGAUACAAUUUAUUAGUGAAGGUUUUGAUAAUACUGAUUAGUUUUGUGGACUUCCUCUCUCUCUCUCUCAUCUUUUUAUCUUUUUAAGGUUUCAAUUAUCUGAUAGAUUGUUUCUAUCUCCAGAUUUUAGUCAGGUAUUCUCCUAAAAAAUAUAAUGGUUGAUACAGUUACAAGUCUGGAAAAUUAAUGUGCCCAUCGUUACAGAUGUGAUAGUCUUCUCGUGCUUACAUCUGCUCCAUUGGGGCUCUACACAUUUGUGGCUGAAUUUUACGUAUUUCUCUGUUACACUAUAUAUUAAAUAUUAUACAAAGACAAAAUAAAUUGUUUUUUAGGGUAUUUUUAGUUUUUGAUUUCUUUACGAACUAAAAUCUUUUUAAAAUCCUAUAUCCUCGUUUAUAAGUUAACAUAUUUCCCUAUAUAAGUCAUACUUUACUCAUUUGCAUUAUUGCCUCCAGACAUUAGUAAGGUAUCCUGCUCAACAAACUAUGGUUGAUACAGUUACAGGUCUGGGAAAUUAAACCGAGUCCAUCGUUACAGAUGUGAUGACCUUUUUGUCAUGCUCACAUCUGCUCCAUUGGGGCUCUACAGGUAUAAGAUCCAUAUACCUCCUCACUUUUAUUGUUAUUCAAUAAUAAUUUGAUUGCUUGUUAUGAUUCUUUUAAUCUGCAAUUUCUAUAUAGCAGAAUGUUUUAGCUAGCUUUGGUGGGGUUUUAAGAAAAAUGGUGGGAGAGAGAUGAGCCCCAAUAGAAACUGCAAUUUCUACAACUUAUUUCCAAGAACCCCUGUUAUAACCGCCAUUGGCCUAAUAUGGGAGAGAGAUGAGCUUCUGGACUAUCAAUUUUCUUAGAGGCAUGGCUCUGGUGUAUUAUUUUCAAUCCUGGGCUUAUGACAUUUUUAUCAAUAUAUUCUCUUAAUACAGUUAUCUAUUUCCAAGAACCCCUGUUAGAACUGCCAUUGGCCUAAUAUGGGAGAGAGACGAGCUUCUGGACUAUCAAUUUUCUUAGAGGCAGGUGACAGGAACACAUUCAUUGUUCACCAAUAUGGCCGAUGGUUUUUAUUGCACUUAAACUAGUGCUUCCUCUGGCUUCCAAUGUUUCCGCAUUUGUAUCUGACUUGGGGAGUGGACAUGUGGCUGAAAAGUGACCAUUUUGAGCAUUUGAUACUUCCACCCAUUUUGUUGCUAGAUUUUUUUUUGGUGAAGAAUCAGUAUGCGUCAUGGCAGUUACCUUGAUUACAUCGAGAUGAGGUUCAAAUAAUGAAACAACUGAUUCUUCACUUAUUUUUUUUUUCAUCGAGAUGAUGCACAUGGUUAAUCUAAAUCUAUUUAAAUUAACUUGCGGUUUGGUCAAAUAGGAUUGAUGACCUAUUUGCUCCAUUAAUAUGCAUCUGAUUCAAAUUGAUUCUUUGAAA